ACUCAAGAAAAGAAUCUUAGUCCAACCUAAAGCUUUACUUCUUCCCCCACAAGAAAUUCUACUUUAGAGCAAUUCAAGUAAGGUACAGCUUAUUUGAUACAGGACACAACCUCACACAACGGCUAAUAUACACUACCAUUAAACUAAGUAGGCUUAAGAGCAGCCAUCUUAAAAGAGCGUCAAAGCCUAAUUUCUACUAUACCUAAUUCCACAGCCUAUGCAGAACCCUUCAUCAAUAUUGAGUAAUUCUAUACAACCCUAUAGAAAUUUUUAUGUUAAAACUAGUAACAAGAAGACACUUCUCUUUUAAUGCAAGCAUAAAUCAAACUGGAUAAUCCACUGAUAAUCAUACACUACAGCAGAAAAAUUUUCCCACCACGAAAACCCUGCCUUAUUAACUGUUAAACUGACACAAGAGCAUUUCAAGAAAGAUUAAAAGAAAAAGAAGGAACUCGGCAAAUAUUGAUUCCGCCUGUUUACCAAAAACAUCGCCUCUUGAAUAAGUAUAAGAGGUCCAGCCUGCCCAGUGACAUUAGUUCAACGGCCGCGGUAUUCUGACCGUGCGAAGGUAGCGUAAUCACUCGUCUUUUAAAUAAGGACUAGUAUGAAAGGCAUCACGAGAAUCAAACUGUCUCCUUUUUCUAAUCUGUGAAACUAAUCUCCCCGUGAAAAAGCGGGAAUUAUCAUAUAAGACGAGAAGACCCUAUGGAGCUUUAGACAAAGCAAUAAAUGCUCUAUUUUCUUAUCCUAAGAAAAACUAAUCAGCACAUUAUAUCUUAGUCUUCGGUUGGGGCGACCACGGAGUAAAACCCACCCUCCACGCUGAAUAGGACCUCCUUAAACAGAGAGCAACAGCUCAAUGCAUCAAUAAAUUGACAACACUUGACCCAAUAUUUGAUCAACGAAACAAGUUACCCUAGGGAUAACAGCGCAAUCCACUUCAAGAGCCCUUAUUGACAAGUGGGUUUACGACCUCGAUGUUGGAUCAGGGUACCCCAGUGGUGUAACCGCUACUAAAGGUUUGUUUGUUCAACAAUUAAAACCCUACGUGAUCUGAGU
rnacentral:rRNA from 1 species